rnacentral:rRNA from 1 species
AGCGAAGCGACGUCAAAGCGUAUACAAAGUCGAGUCGGUUUAAGGAUACGUUCGUUGGGUAGGGGAGCGUUCUGUAAGCCUGUGAAGGUGGCCUGUGAGGGUUGCUGGAGGUAUCAGAAGUGCGAAUGCUGACAUAAGUAACGAUAAAGCGGGUGAAAAGCCCGCUCGCCGGAAGACCAAGGGUUCCUGUCCAACGUUAAUCGGGGCAGGGUGAGUCGACCCCUAAGGCGAGGCCGAAAGGCGUAGUCGAUGGGAAACGGGUUAAUAUUCCCGUACUUGGUGUUACUGCGAAGGGGGGACGGAGAAGGCUAUGUUGGCCGGGCGACGGUUGUCCCGGUUUAAGCGUGUAGGUGUGUGUUCCAGGUAAAUCCGGUUCACUUUAACACUGAGGCGUGACGACGAGGCACUACGGUGCUGAAGCAACAAAUGCCCUGCUUCCAGGAAAAGCCUCUAAGCAUCAGGUAACAUCAAAUCGUACCCCAAACCGACACAGGUGGUCAGGUAGAGAAUACCAAGGCGCUUGAGAGAACUCGGGUGAAGGAACUAGGCAAAAUGGUGCCGUAACUUCGGGAGAAGGCACGCUGACACGUAGGUGAAGUGAUUUACUCAUGGAGCUGAAGUCAGUCGAAGAUACCAGCUGGCUGCAACUGUUUAUUAAAAACACAGCACUGUGCAAACACGAAAGUGGACGUAUACGGUGUGACGCCUGCCCGGUGCCGGAAGGUUAAUUGAUGGGGUCAGCGCAAGCGAAGCUCCUGAUCGAAGCCCCGGUAAACGGCGGCCGUAACUAUAACGGUCCUAAGGUAGCGAAAUUCCUUGUCGGGUAAGUUCCGACCUGCACGAAUGGCGUAAUGAUGGCCAGGCUGUCUCCACCCGAGACUCAGUGAAAUUGAACUCGCUGUGAAGAUGCAGUGUACCCGCGGCAAGACGGAAAGACCCCGUGAACCUUUACUAUAGCUUGACACUGAACAUUGAGCCUUGAUGUGUAG